rnacentral:rRNA from 1 species
UACGGAGGGUGCAAGCGUUACUCGGAAUCACUGGGCGUAAAGAGUGCGCAGGCGGGCUUGUAAGUCAGAUGUGAAAUCCUGUAGCUUAACUACAGAACUGCAUUUGAAACUAUGAGUCUAGAGUGUGGGAGAGGUAGGUGGAAUUCCUAGUGUAGCGGUGAAAUGCGUAGAUAUUAGGAGGAAUACCAGUGGCGAAGGCGGCCUGCUGGACGAUGACUGACGUUGAGGCUCGAAAGCGUGGGGAGCAAACAGG